CGGACCGGCGCACGGGUGCGUAACGCGUAUGCAACCUACCUUUAACAGGGGGAUAACACUGAGAAAUUGGUACUAAUACCUCAUAAUAUCAUAGAAGGCAUCUUUUAUGGUUGAAAAUUCCGAUGGUUAGAGAUGGGCAUGCGUUGUAUUAGCUAGUUGGUGGGGUAACGGCUCACCAAGGCGACGAUACAUAGGGGGACUGAGAGGUUAACCCCCCACACUGGUACUGAGACACGGACCAG
rnacentral:rRNA from 1 species